rnacentral:rRNA from 1 species
GUUAAGCGACUAAGCGUACACGGUGGAUGCCCUGGCAGUCAGAGGCGAUGAAGGGCGUGCUAAUCUGCGAUAAGCGCCGGUAAGGUGAUAUGAACCGUUAUAACCGGCGAUACCCGAAUGGGGAAACCCAGUGUGACUCGUCACACUAUCAUUAACUGAAUCCAUAGGUUAAUGAGGCGAACCGGGGGAACUGAAACAUCUAAGUACCCCGAGGAAAAGAAAUCAACCGAGAUUCCCCCAGUAGCGGCGAGCGAACGGGGAGGAGCCCAGAGCCUGAAUCAGCAUGUGUGUUAGUGGAAGCGUCUGGAAAGGCGCGCGAUACAGGGUGACAGCCCCGUACACAAAAGCGCAUGUGCUGUGAGCUCGAUGAGUAGGGCGGGACACGUGGUAUCCUGUCUGAAUAUGGGGGGACCAUCCUCCAAGGCUAAAUACUCCUGACUGACCGAUAGUGAACCAGUACCGUGAGGGAAAGGCGAAAAGAACCCCGGCGAGGGGAGUGAAAAAGAACCUGAAACCGUGUACGUACAAGCAGUGGGAGCACAGGUUUACCUGUGUGACUGCGUACCUUUUGUAUAAUGGGUCAGCGACUUAUAUUCUGUAGCAAGGUUAACCGCAUAGGGGAGCCGGAGGGAAACCGAGUCUUAAU